AUUACCGAGUUUACAACUCCCAAACCCCUGUGAACAUACCUUAAUGUUGCCUCGGCGGAUCAGCCCGCGCCCCGUAAAACGGGACGGCCCGCCAGAGGACCCAAACUCUAAUGUUUCUUAUUGUAACUUCUGAGUAAAACAAACAAAUAAAUCAAAACUUUCAACAACGGAUCUCUUGGUUCUGGCAUCGAUGAAGAACGCAGCAAAAUGCGAUAAGUAAUGUGAAUUGCAGAAUUCAGUGAAUCAUCGAAUCUUUGAACGCACAUUGCGCCCGCUGGUAUUCCGGCGGGCAUGCCUGUUCGAGCGUCAUUUCAACCCUCAAGCCCCCGGGUUUGGUGUUGGGGAUCGGCUCUGCCCUUCUGGGCGGUGCCGCCCCCGAAAUACAUUGGCGGUCUCGCUGCAGCCUCCAUUGCGUAGUAGCUAACACCUCGCAACUGGAACGCGGCGCGGCCAUGCCGUAAAACCCCAACUUCUGAAUGUUGACCUCGGAUCAGGUAGGAAUACCCGCUGAACUUAAGCAUAU
rnacentral:rRNA from 1 species